GACUAUGGGUUUGCUGUGUGCAAAAUUGUACCCCCAUUAAUGGUAUUUCCACCAAGUCUGGUGUCAGCGAAUUAUGGCCUUCUGCACAUGGAAACUGGCGAUCCACUCCCUUUAAAGCAAACAAACCAAUU